UACGGAGGGUGCAAGCGUUGUCCGGAUUCAUUGGGUUUAAAGGGUGCGCAGGCGGGCGAUUAAGUCAGGGGUGAAAGACGGUUGCUCAACAAUCGCAGUGCCUUUGAUACUGGUUGUCUUGGGUGACCUUGAGGUAGGCGGAAUGGGUGGUGUAGCGGUGAAAUGCAUAGAUACCACCCAGAACUCCGAUUGCGAAGGCAGCCUACUGGAGGUUCACCGACGCUCAGGCACGAAAGCGUGGGGAU
rnacentral:rRNA from 1 species